UACGUAGGGGCAAGCGUUGUCCGGAUUUAUUGGGCGUAAAGAGCGUGUAGGCGGCCAUACAGGUCAGCUGUGAAAACUCGAGGCUCAAACCUCGAGACGUCGGUUGAAAACCGUAUGGCUAGAGUCCGGAAAAGAGGGGAGAGUGGGAAAAUUCCCCGGUGUAGCGGGUGAAAUGCGCAGAUAUCGGGGAAAGAAACACCCGUGGCGAAAGGGCGGGCUCUCUGGGACGGGUACUGACGCUGAGG
rnacentral:rRNA from 1 species